rnacentral:rRNA from 1 species
GACGAACGCUGGCGGCGGGCCUAACACAUGCAAGUCGAACGGAAAGGCCCUGAUUGUGUGGGGUGACCGAGUGGCGAUCGGGUGAGUAACACGUAAGUAACCUGCCCUUGACUUUGGGAUAACUUCAGGUAACUAGGCUUAAUACAGGAUCGCAGCUCCCGUUGCAUGGAGGGGGUUGGAUCGUUUCGGCGGUUGCGGAUGGAUGAGCGGCUUAUGAACUUGUUGGUUGGGUAGUGGCUUACCAAGGGAUGGGCGGGUCGCCGGCCUGAGAGGGUGGCCGGCCACAUUGGGACUGAGAUACGGCCCAGAGUGCUACGGGAGGCAGCAGUGGGGAAUAUUGCACAAUGGGCGGAAGCCUGAUGAAACAACGCCGCGGGCGGGAUGACGGCCUUCGGGUUGUAAACCGCUUUCGCCUGUGACGAAGCGUGAGUGACGGUAAUGGGUAAAGAAGCACCGGCUAACUACGUG